CGCUGGCGGCAGGCCUAACACAUGCAAGUCGAACGAACCUUUCGGGGUUAGUGGCGGACGGGUGAGUAACACGUGGGAACGUGCCUUUAGGUUCGGAAUAACUCAGGGAAACUUGUGCUAAUACCGAAUGUGCCCUUCGGGGGAAAGAUUAAUCGCCUUUAGAGCGGCCCGCGUCUGAUUAGCUAGUUGGUUGAGGUAAUGGCUCACCAAGGCGACGAUCAGUAGCUGGUCUGAGAGGAUGAUCAGCCACAUUGGGACUGAGACACGGCCCAAACUCCUACGGGAGGCAGCAGUGGGGAAUCUUGCGCAAUGGGCGAAAGCCUGACGCAGCCAUGCCGCGUGAAUGAUGAAGGUCUUAGGAUUGUAAAAUUCUUUCACCGGGGACGAUAAUGACGGUACCCGGAGAAGAAGCCCCGGCUAACUUCGUG
rnacentral:rRNA from 1 species